GAUGAAGAACGCAGCGAAAUGCGAUACGUAAUGUGAAUUGCAGAAUUCAGUGAAUCAUCGAAUCUUUGAACGCACAUUGCGCCCCUUGGUAUUCCAUGGGGCAUGCCUGUUCGCGCGUCAUUUGUACACUCAAGCUUUGCUUGGUGUUGGGUGUUUGUCCCGCGUUGCGCGUGGACUCGCCUUAAAGCGAUUGGCAGCCGGCAUAUUGGCCUUGGAGCGCAGCACAUUUUGCGCUUCUAGUCAUGAAUGUUGGCGUCCAUUAAGCCUAUACAUUUGCUCUUGACCUCGGAUCAGGUAGGGAUACCCGCUGAACUUAAGCAUAUCAAUAAGCGGAGGA
rnacentral:misc_RNA from 1 species